AACGACUCUCGGCAACGGAUAUCUCGGCUCUCGCAUCGAUGAAGAACGUAGCGAAAUGUGAUAUUUGGUGUGAAUUGCAGAAUCCCGUGAAC
rnacentral:rRNA from 1 species